rnacentral:rRNA from 1 species
UGGGGAAUAUUGGGCAAUGGGCGCAAGCCUGACCCAGCCAUGCCGCGUGAGUGAUGAAGGCCUUCGGGUCGUAAAGCUCUGUGGGGAGGGAAGAAACCGGGCGCAGAUAAUACCUGCGUCUCUUGACGGUACCUCCUUAGCAAGCACCGGCUAACUCCGUGCCAGCAGCCGCGGUAAUACGGAGGGUGCAAACGUUGCUCGGAAUCAUUGGGCGUAAAGCGCACGUAGGCGGCCUGUUAAGUCGGGUGUGAAAGCCCUGGGCUCAACCCAGGAAGUGCACUCGAAACUGACAGGCUUGAAUAUGGAAGAGGGUCGCGGAAUUCCCGGUGUAGAGGUGAAAUUCGUAGAUAUCGGGAGGAACACCAGUGGCGAAGGCGGCGACCUGGGCCAAUAUUGACGCUGAGGUGCGAAAGCGUGGGGAGCAAACAGGAUUAGAUACCCGCGUAGUCC